AUUGAACGCUGGCGGCAGGCCUAACACAUGCAAGUCGAACGGAGUGGCGGACGGGUGAGUAAUGCUUGGGAAUCUAGCUUAUGGAGGGGGAUAACUACGGGAAACUGUAGCUAAUACCGCGUACUAUCAGAUGAGCCCAGGUGGGAUUAGCUAGUAGGUGGGGUAAAGGCCUACCAAGGCGACGAUCCGUAAAUGGUCUGAGAGGAUGAUCAGCCACACUGGAACUGAGACACGGUCCAUACUCCUACGGCAGGCAGCAGUGGGGAAUAUUGGACAAUGGGCGAAAGCCUGAUCCAGCCAUGCCGCGUGUGUGAAGAAGGUCUUCGGAUUGUAAAGCACUUUAAGUUGGGAGGCGUUACCCACAGAAUAAGCACCGGCUAACUUCGUGCCAGCAGCCGCGGUAAUAC
rnacentral:rRNA from 1 species